GACGAACCGUGCGAACGUUAUUCGGAAUUACUGGGCGUAAAGCGCACGUAGGCGGCUUUGUAAGUCAGAGGUGAAAGCCUGGAGCUCAACUCCAGAACUGCCUUUGAGACUGCAUCGCUUGAAUCCAGGAGAGGUGAGUGGAAUUCCGAGUGUAGAGGUGAAAUUCGUAGAUAUUCGGAAGAACACCAGUGGCGAAGGCGGCUCACUGGACUGGUAUUGACGCUGAGGUGCGAAAGCGUGGGGAGCAAACAGG
rnacentral:rRNA from 1 species